UACGUAGGGUGCGAGCGUUGUCCGGAAUUACUGGGCGUAAAGCGUGCGUAGGCGGUUUCUUAAGUCUGCUGUGAAAUCCCCGGGCUCAACCUGGGAAUGGCAGUGGAUACUGGGAGGCUAGAGUGUGUCAGAGGAUGGUGGAAUUCCCGGUGUAGCGGUGAAAUGCGUAGAGAUCGGGAGGAACAUCAGUGGCGAAGGCGGCCAUCUGGGACAACACUGACGCUGAGGCACGAAAGCGUGGGGAGCAAACAGG
rnacentral:rRNA from 1 species